GAUGAACGCUGGCGGCGUGCCUAAUACAUGCAAGUCGAGCGAACGGACGAGAAGCUUGCUUUUCUGAUGUUAGCGGCGGACGGGUGAGUAACACGUGGAUAACCUACCUAUAAGACUGGGAUAACUUCGGGAAACCGGAGCUAAUACCGGAUAAUAUUUUGAACCGCAUGGUUCAAAAGUGAAAGACGGUCUUGCUGUCACUUAUAGAUGGAUCCGCGCUGCAUUAGCUAGUUGGUAAGGUAACGGCUUACCAAGGCAACGAUGCAUAGCCGACCUGAGAGGGUGAUCGGCCACACUGGAACUGAGACACGGUCCAGACUCCUACGGGAGGCAGCAGUAGGGAAUCUUCCGCAAUGGGCGAAAGCCUGACGGAGCAACGCCGCGUGAGUGAUGAAGGUCUUCGGAUCGUAAAACUCUGUUAGUAGGGAAGAAGAUAUGUGUAAGUAACUGUGCACAUCUUGACGGUACCUAAACAGAAAGCCACGGCUAACUACGUG
rnacentral:rRNA from 1 species